ACGCACGCUGGCGGCAUGCCUCACCCAUGCCAGUCGAACGAGACCUUCGGGUCUAGUGGCGCACGGGUGCGUAACGCGUGGGAACCUGCCCUUAGGUUCGGAAUAACUCCCCGGAAGGGGUGCUAAUACCGGAUAAUGUCUUCGGACCAAAGAUUUAUCGCCUUUGGAUGGGCCCGCGUUGGAUUAGCUAGUUGGUAGGGUAAAAGCCUACCAAGGCGACGAUCCAUAGCUGGUCUGAGAGGAUGAUCAGCCACACUGGGACUGAGACACGGCCCAGACUCCUACGGGAGGCAGCAGUGGGGAAUAUUGGACAAUGGGCGAAAGCCUGAUCCAGCAAUGCCGCGUGAGUGAUGAAGGCCUUAGGGUUGUAAAGCUCUUUUACCCGGGAUGAUAAUGACAGUACCGGGAGAAUAAGCUCCGGCUAACUCCGUG
rnacentral:rRNA from 1 species